rnacentral:rRNA from 1 species
GACGAACGCUGGCGGCGGGCUUAACACAUGCAAGUCGAACGGAAUCCAUGGAGCUUGCUCCGGAAGAUUUAGUGGCGAACGGGUGAGGAACACGUGAGGAACCUGCCCCGAACUUUGGGAUAACAGUUGGAAACGACUGCUAAUACCGAAUACCUCCAGAGGAUCACAUGGUCCUUUGAAGAAAGAAUUUCGGUUCGGGAGGGCCUCGCGGCCUAUCAGCUAGUUGGUGGGGUAACGGCCUACCAAGGCAUCGACGGGUAGCUGGUCUGAGAGGAUGAUCAGCCAACCUGGACCUGGGACACGGUCCAGAAUCCUACGGGAGGCAGCAGUGGGGAAUCUUGUGCAAUGGGCGAAAGCCUGACACAGCCACGCCGCGUGCGGGAAGAAGGCCUUCGGGUCGUAAACCGCUUUCAGCAGGAACGAAAAUGACGGUACCUGCAGAAGAAGGAGCGGCCAACUACGUGCCAGCCGCCGCAGUAA